AAUCAGAAUGAUAUUCAAUUGCAAUUAGCCACGCCUAGAGGUACAAUGGAGGACUGAAAAGGUCUAAAUGAGUGUUUUGUUCAUUUGUGUCACUUAAGCGACAGAGUGCCAAAAAAGCAAAAUGGAAAUCAUGCAUGAUGCUCUCAUUAGCUCUUGUUGAUCACAGAGACUUGUGGCAGGAAUGACACACGAGUGAUAUGCAUUGGGUUGGAUUUGGUGACUGUUAUGUUGGAGUGUGGCGUGAAGAGUCUUGGAUACAUUAAAUCACUGAGAGUUCUCAUGCAAGACGGACUCUGCCAUCACUUACUUACUGUAAAUGAGCAACUUUACGAAUUGCUUCAGAACGAAUCUGUUGAUGUUUUUGGUUGCUCUUUGACAAAGUGCUUUCUUCUUUUUGAUUCAAAUUGUCAUCAUCUCAAACUACAGCUGGAGUGGUUCCAUAAUAAGCUAAUGCACACAAUACAAUUAGAUCAGUCAAGACUUCAAGCAAGCAGACAAGAGCUAACAUUAGAAUGUCUCAAUUCAAUUUUGUCACAUUCAUAAUUUUGUAUCAGAGUUAUAUGUUAAUUAUGAUUGCAGUACCUACUGUACUAACGUGUGCGAGAGACUGAGCAAACUACUUGCUAAGUACGGGGUAUUUUGCUAAAUAUUAUUACAGCAAGCAUUCCCCAGCUCUUAUCACACGAUAUCAUCAACCAACAUAAUUAGCAAUGGAAACACUACUGGCAAUGAUACUGGCAUUAGAAUCAACCAACACCACCACUACUGAUAGUGAUGAUACCAAUGAUGGUGAUACUAAUAGAAUGUGUACUAAGAUUAAUGGAGGGAAAGUUGCAGGUGACUGUAAUAAAGGAAUAAGCAGCAGCAACCAGAUAUCAGUCUGAAUGGAGCAGAGGAGGUGGGUGGAGCUAUAUCAGAACGUAAUAUGGCGUUUUGGCCUUUUGUCACUUUAUUUAACCAUUUUUAAGGGUACCAUCAAGGAUCUCAAGUCCUUUUUUGUAGGCGGAGUUGACAAAUUGUCAUCAAAAUUACAUGAAUGAACAUUAAAGGUACCGUCAAGGAUCUCAAGUCCAUUUUAGAGGGCGGAGUUGACGCCUUGUCUUCACAUCUACAUGAAUGAACAUUAAAGGUUGAGAAGAGGUCAUCGUGGGGGGCGGAGUCAUGCGUCCCAUCUAAUAUGGCGUUUUGGCCUUUUGUCACUUCAUUUAACCGU